ensembl:snRNA U7 U7 small nuclear RNA
GAAAAUUUGCUCCUUUAUAAUUUUUCUAGUAGGUUUCCUCAAGGAGAAAGCCCAC